AAUUGUGCUUGGAACAUUUCAACGGACGUCAUCUUGAUCUUUCUCCUCUGGAAUGGCCAUGCUGCAGGUAUAGGUAUUCACGUAUUCAGACGUUCCUGAGUACUGGACAUAACAUAUUUUCCAGAAUACAUUGACAAGAAUGAGAACGCAUACUGGGGUGACAGGUAGCCUAGUGGUU